GUCUAAGUACACACGGCCGGUACAGUGAAACUGCGAAUGGCUCAUUAAAUCAGUUAUGGUUCCUUUGAUCGCUCCAACGUUACUUGGAUAACUGUGGCAAUUCUAGAGCUAAUACAUGCAGACGAGCGCUGACCUCCGGGAGGGGGGGGGGGAACGUCAAAAUAAAUGACACAUUUCUUGAGUUAUCUUAGAUUAAUUCUAGACUACGGUGUCUCAAAAUGGACAAACUGUUCUAUUGUCACUUUUUUUCUAUCUCAUUUUUCAAGCGAAGGUCUUUUUAAGGGAG
rnacentral:ncRNA from 1 species